CAUGCUAAGGUGAAGCAAAGCAGAUAUCAUGAACACUUCUGCUUUUUCUUUCUUUAUAUUACAGCAUUGUAUCUAGGCUUCUAAUCAAAGGGACUGGAGAAACAUGGGUGUCAGAGAGAUCCAAACAUGUUAAUUAAUAUUCCAAAGACUGGUUGGAGAAGGAAGGGGCAAAAGCAGACGUUUCACUGUGCAGAGAAGAACCAGGACGAGGAAAUCAGGCUCCUGAACUUGAGCAUCUUUUCUUUCAACAGGAAAUGUGUAAUCAAAGUCAGAAAUUGCUUUCUAUAAUCCUGACCUGGAAAAGAAACAACUACAUGUAACUAUUUUCUCCUCUCUUGACAGAACAAAAGCUUUUAUCACGCCUGACUGGAUGUAACCCAAAUAAUAAAUUCAGGGGAGAUCAUUCUUCUUCUCCAGCAGCCAUCUUCUAACUAUUGCAUUUGUGGAGAGUAACCACAUCUCCUCUCAGCUUUUGGUUUUCUUGGAUGAGAAUAACAAAUUGUCAUCUGCAUUUCAUCAGAUAACUGAAGUUCUUCAUGGCAGGCAAUGCUAAAGUAAGAGGAUUAUCUCAAACUACUUCUGCAAGAAGAAUGGAUUUUCCCCUGAGUUAACUUGAGAAAUCAAGACUUGUAUCUUCUAUUUCUAAGGAUACAGCGAUGUAGUUAUAAUUUCUGUUGAAUAAAUAGGAAAGGUGAUGUGGCAAAUGAAUGAAGAUUAUAAGGGCAGAAGGAAAUAAAUGUUUAAAACAGCAACAACAAAAAGGUGCAGCAUUUAACUGCAAUCUGCAGAAGAUAUCCUGGUCAGGUGUGGUUUAUGUAAUGUUAUAAUAAAGAAAAAAAAAAUAGUAGGGAUUUAUAAAAUGGCUGGUCAAACAAUAAGCAUCCUAAGAUGUUUUCUCUGUUGCACGUAAACAAGGACUUAGUGCAGCUGAGUAUCUGGAUUAUAUUUGUGACACCUUCUGUUAUCUUCGGACCUUUUCAGUUAUACCUUGUGAUUCUUUAUGUUUGAUGUACAGAGCUUUAUACUUUUCAGUUCUCCAAGCAGAGAUACUAUUACAUUGUGGUACUGUGUGUUUGUUGUUUUUUUUUUUUUUUUUUUCACUCAGAGCUUAUCUUUAAAACCAUAUAAUUCCCCAAGGCAUCCCAGAGUGGUAGGAUACAUUUUUUCAUCCUGUUUAUUCAACUCAAGAAGAAUCUUAUACAUCUUAUGAUGCAGAUCAUACUAGUGUAAUGAUCUUUGUUGAGUAGCCUUCAUUAUUGAGUGCAGGAUUUCUAAGUGGUUGAGUAUUUAUGGAAUGAGUGAAGGAUACAGUGAUAUUAAUUUAAAAGCAAAAACCAAGUCAGAAUUUUUCAUACCAGUAGUGUCUCUAAGACAGAGCUAAGAAGCAUAACACUUUUACUGUGCGAUUUACAUGCAGGCAUUUAUUCAUCCCUAACUUUCUAU
ensembl:lncRNA